UUAAGAUAUUAAUCAUAUAACUUUUCUUCUCAAAAUGAAAAGCUUCUUAUCAUUUUAUUUCAUAGAUAAAAGUCACAUUAACAUUCCUGGGAAUAAACUUUAUUACCAGGGUUUUAAAAUGCAUAAAAGAUAAAUGUAGUAGUACUUGCAGGUAAAUAUGGAGAUUGAGGGAAAAGGAAUUCUUAGGAAAAAUCCUAUAUCCUACCUAGAGUACCUCUUAAGCUCCCUCUGCUGGCUACC
rnacentral:lncRNA from 1 species